CCGCGUGUGUGAAGAAGGCCCUCGGGUUGUAAAGCACUUUCAGUGAGGAAGAACGCCUGAUGGUUAAUACCCGUCAGGAAAGACAUCACUCACAGAAGAAGCACCGGCUAACUCCGUGCCAGCAGCCGCGGUAAUACGGAGGGUGCAAGCGUUAAUCGGAAUUACUGGGCGUAAAGCGCGCGUAGGUGGCUUGAUAAGCCGGUUGUGAAAGCCCCGGGCUCAACCUGGGAACGGCAUCCGGAACUGUCAGGCUAGAGUGCAGGAGAGGAAGGUAGAAUUCCCGGUGUAGCGGUGAAAUGCGUAGAGAUCGGGAGGAAUACCAGUGGCGAAGGCGGCCUUCUGGACUGACACUGACACUGAGGUGCGAAAGCGUGGGUAGCAAACAGGAUUAGAUACCCUGGUAGUCCACGCCGUAAACGAUGUCGACCAGCCGUUGGGUGCCUAGCGCACUUUGUGGCGAAGUUAACGCGAUAAGUCGACCGCCUGGGGAGUACGGCCGCAAGGUUAAAACUCAA
rnacentral:rRNA from 1 species